GGUGUGGCAUGGCAAUCCACUAUCAUUCUAACUCUACUCUGCCUAAACAAAAACCUCGAAGCCUGGGGUAUAUCAGUUGCUGGAUAAUGUAAACCAAUAUAANNNNNNNNNNAAUCAGGCCUUUUGUUCUCAGCUACAACCUCACCAUGCUCAUCCUCAUGAAACUUAUAAACCAUAACCCUAUCAUACCCAGUAAGCUCCCUCACAC
rnacentral:misc_RNA from 1 species